CCAAUAGCGUAUAUUAAAGUUGUUGCAGUUAAAAAGCUCGUAGUUGAAUUUCGGGAUCAAUCUGUUGGUCGUGCCUUUGGUACGUACUAGCUUAUUGAUUUCUCCCUUCUGACGAACCAUGAUGUCAUUAAUUUGGUGUCAUGGGAAAUCAGGACUGUUACUUUGAAAAAAUUAGAGUGUUUAAAGCAGGCUCACGCUUGAAUACAUUAGCAUGGAAUAA
rnacentral:rRNA from 1 species